AUAAAUUUUAUUCAUAACCUCCAUAAAGAAAAUCUUACCAGUACUCUAUACGUUGUUUUUGGUUCGAGAGUCUAUAAAUUGGAUCCAACUUCCUAUUGGGGAAGUGGGACCUUAUAAGGCCGAAAUAUCCCGCUACCAUCCGCAGGCAAAACAUAAAUAUGCACAAACCAUAAAAAACUGACCAGAGCGAGACAUAGUGUCCUUUCUAUACCCGUCACAAUGACAUGGCAACUUGGCGAAACAAAUGACUAAAUGGAGACAAGAGCAAAAAAUGUGUGUGUUCGCCCAGGGUGCAUCCACUUAUACAACCAUAAGAGUGGGUGGUGGGCUACUGGGUGGUCAAUGGAGGCUUGCCAGGAUUGGAAGGAUUGGAUGGAUGGAUGGAUGAAGUAGUACGGAAAACGAAAGCAGCUGAAGCUGCAUGGAAAUCUUUUAAUUGCUGCCACCAGUAGCCGUAGCCAAGCAAGCGAAAGCCUUCCAUUUGUCUUCCAUCUUCCAGCCAACUGCUGACGUUGUUUGAUUUACCCCAAAUUGAGAAAGAGACAGCCUGUUCGAUUAUGUCCACUGGGUAUGAAGGAGACAGGUACACUGGGCCUGGGGCGGCGUGAAAUUGCAAAACUGUUUCACCUGAACGAUGCUGAAUGGUCCAGGUGGCCAUUCUCAGAAAACAUCUGAGACUUUUGCUCAAUAAGACAAUGACAAAUAUCCAAAACACCAACUAGUUUGGUAGUUAAAAGUACUCGACAAGGAGCGUACUAAAAAAACUUUUUUCAGCAGAGCCCAAAUCACAUAAUGCAGUCCCACUUGAUAGCAUUUUUUACAAUUAAUCUAACUUGAGGGAAAUUAUGGAAAUUAUAUUGUAUAUUUGUCUGUAACUGAACUAUCCUUAAUGCACGAGCUUUUCAUUGGAUUUUGCACGAAAAAGUACACUAGAACAAUAUGCAAACAAAUUUAAAUGUCCCAAAUGACCCUAUCGUUUAGGCGCAAGCACUUGAUAGUUUAAGGAAACCUAUGAAAAGCUUCCCAAGCUACCCGACCCAAGAUGCCCCAUCGACAGUCUUUAGCAUUGACCACAAUGAAGGCAAAACCAGAGCGGCAUUCAAUAAGUCCUUUGGCCCCAACAGAAACACCCAAUUUCCCAGCUACCUCUAUUGUUAUAGAGUAUGAAAAACUAGGGAAAGCGACGGGCGAAACAAACAAAACGAGGAAAAUACAAAAGUACCCGGGGAGGAAAACUAAAAAAGUGAGCAACAGCGGGAAAAGAACUCCAAACAAUAGGCAGCCCUCAAAGUGAGCGAUUGUUGCAACGUGUCGGGGCAUCAAUAGAGGGUCCAAGUGGACAGCGAACCAGGGGCUAAUUCCCCAAAAGUAUAACAACUCACCCAGUUUGUUAGCCUACUAAGCUAAUAGUUUCUGAAAAACACGACAAUCGUUUAAAAAGCGAGUUUUUUAUUACCAGAGAUUUAAGAGUAACUAUUAUAAUUAAAGGAACAGAAAAAUGUACUUUUAUAUACACGUUGUUUAUAGCAAUUCUAGAGAUACGAGUUUAACAUAGUUUAGUUACUUAUACUGGAAUAUUUAUAUGUGAUAUUUAAAAAGAAGGUGAAACGAUAAAGAAGAAUUUAGCAAGUAA